CCUUGGCUCUGCCCCACUGCAUCUGCCUACCCACUGUUUCCACCCGGAUCUAGUUCGCAGAGCAACUGUCGCUGUGGAAGGCGGCGGCCAUUUUUAAUAUGGGCAUAAGAGUAGGGACAGAAGUGUGAUUUUAAACUACAUCCUUUAUUCGAGAGUUGAAUCAUCAAGAGGGGAUUGGAAAAGCAAUUAAAGAAGGACAAACAAAGGUGGAUACUUUCCUAACAUCACAUUAAAGAUGUACAGCCCAAAGCGGAAAAACUCCUUGCCCGGUUCCAAGAUGAGCGCCUCCUUAUACCACGUGUCUGACGGCGCUUACUCUUCGUCCCACGUCAGGUUUAGCUCCGUCGGCCUUCGCUGGUCGCGUUUAAAGGGCCAAUGCCCCGCGUUUACUCUGGGACGUCUCUGGAGACGGGAAGAUGGCUGCUGGAAGCAAGGGGGAGGGCAGGCGGAAUGAGGAUGUGGAGCAGCACCUGCUCAGUGUAGAAAACCUGUUGCCAACAUAGUCAACGUUGGGAAGGAAGUCAAGGUACUUUUCCUUCAUCAUCCCACCCGCCUUCUGACCCCGCAGUAGCAGUUAGUUGACGGGCAACACUGAGGGGUACUUCAGCACUGAAGGGGCUGGGAGUACCCUCAUGCCCUCAGGUCUUGGAUUUAACCCCGUACCUGACUUUCCUUGGUCCUGGAUGCACUGUGCCAGGCUCCCAGUCGGAGGAGGUGAGGCUGAGGCUUUGGAAAGAGCUAAGUAGGAGAACCAGACCCACAAGUGGCUGGCUUCCAGUAAGUCUGAGGAAUUCCCAGGCAGGUUUCUUCCUCCAGGUUAGGUGCCUUUUGCUUGGCACCUGUUUCCUUGCAAAUAACAGUUCACCAGCAUCUCAUUCUCUUUAACAGACACACAAGCUCUUAGACGGCAAAUGAUUUCUAAUCCUCAGAGAAGAAUUCAUCACCAGGAAGUGCGGGAGACGACUGAAGUAUGCUGACAUUUUGUUCAUUCUUGAAUAAGGAGUCAGGGUCAGGUUGAUUCCUUUUAGGCCAAAGAUAGGCCCUCCUGUCUCUCAAAACCAGAUGUGAAAUGUCCUUUCUACUCGAAGGUGGCUCUAAUUAACAACUCAAACCAUGUAUAUAAAGUAAUCCCAGUAAUUA